rnacentral:rRNA from 1 species
AACGUAGGAGACAAACGUUAUCCGGAGUUACUGGGCGUAAAGGGCGUGCAGGCGGUCUGUUAAGUUCGGCGUGAAAGCGCCUGGCUAAACCGGGCGAGGUCGUCGGAGACUGGCAGACUAGAGGGUGAUAGAGGCGGGUGGAAUUCCGGGUGUAGUGGUGAAAUGCGUAGAGAUCCGGAGGAACACCAGUGGCGAAGGCGACCCGCUGGGUCACACCUGACGCUGAGACGCGACAGCAUGGGGAGCGAACGGG